CUUUUUUUGGUAAGCCUGAAGACAAGAAUCCUAUGUACCCAAGGAGAUAAUAAAAAGCCCAAGGAGGGCAGGCAUGGUGGCUCAUGCCUGUAAUCUCAGCACUUUGGGAGGCCGAAGCAGGCGGAUCACAAAGUCAGGAGAUCGAGACCAUCCUGGCUAACACGAAGCUCCACUCUUUGAAAGGAUUCAAGGUUAUUCACACUGUACACAAG
rnacentral:lncRNA from 1 species